rnacentral:rRNA from 1 species
CCAGUGAAAUUAUUUCAACGGCCGCGGUACUCUGACCGUGCAAAGGUAGCAUAAUCAUUUGCCUUAUAAUUGAAGGCUGGUAUGAAUGGUUUGACAAGAAUAUAGCUGUCUCUUUAUAAUUUAAUAGAACUUUAUUUUGGGGUGAAGAAGCCCCAAUUAAAUUAAAAGACAAGAAGACCCUAUCGAGCUUUAAAAAAAUUAAUGGAAUAUGCAAUAUUAAUACAAAGAUAAAAAAUUAGCUAUUAAAAAUUUUGGUUGGGGCGACUAAGGAACAAAAAUAGCUUCCUUUAUAAAUGUUAUAACAUACAAGUAUUGAUCCAAAAUUUUUGAUUAAAGGAAUUAGUUACCGUAGGGAUAACAGCAUUAUCCUCUUUGAGAGUUCUUAUCGAAAAGGGGGUUUGUGACCUCGAUGUUGGACCAGAAUAUCCUAAAGAUGCAGAAGUCUUUAAGGGUUGGUCUGUUCGACCAUUAAAAUUCU